rnacentral:rRNA from 1 species
GUUUGAUCAUGGCUCAGAACGUACGCUGGCGGCACGCCUAACACAUGCAAGUCGAACGCAGUAGCAAUACUGAGUGGCAGACGGGUGAGUAACAUGUGGGAAUCUGCCUUGUGGUUCAGGACAACAUUGGGAAACCGAUGCUAAUACUGGAUAAGCCCUUACGGGGAAAGUCUUAAUGCCAUAAGAUGAGCCCGCAUUUGAUUAGUUAGUUGGUGAGGUAAUGGCUCACCAAGACAAUGAUCAAUAGCUGAUCUGAGAGGAUGAUCAGCCACACUGGGACUGAGACACGGCCCAGACUCCUACGGGAGGCAGCAGUGGGGAAUCUUGCACAAUGGAGGAAACUCUGAUGCAGCGAUGCCGCGUGAGUGAAGAAGGCCUUUGGGUUGUAAAGCUCUUUUGUAGGGGAAGAUAAUGACUGUACCCUAAGAAUAAGGUCCGGCUAACUUCGUGCCAGCAGCCGCGGUAAUACGAAGGGACCUAGCGUAGUUCGGAAUUACUGGGCGUAAAGCGCGCGUAGGCCGUUGAGUUAGUUAAUUGUGAAAUCCCAAAGCUUAACUUUGGAACUGCAAUUAAAACUGCUCGACUAGAGUUUGAUAGAGGAAAGCGGAAUACAUAGUGUAGAGGUGAAAUUCGUAGAUAUUAUGUAGAACACCAGUUGCGAAGGCGGCUUUCUGGAUCAACACUGACGCUGAGGCGCGAAAGUAUGGGUAGCAAAGAGGAUUAGAUACCCUCGUAGUCCAUACCAUAAACGAUGAUUGCUAGAUGUUGGAAAUUUAUUUUCAGUAUCGCAGCUAACGCAUUAAGCAAUCCGCCUGGGGAGUACGACCGCAAGGUUAAAACUCAAAUGAAUUGACGGGGACCCGCACAAGCGGUGGAGCAUGUGGUUUAAUUCGAAGAUACGCGCAGAACCUUACCAACCCUUGACAUGUCUGUCGCGAGUUUAGGAAACUAGACUUUU